GGCCAGAGCAGUGGCAGCAGCUGUUGGCAUCCUUAUCGCAACGUCCUCGCCUUUCUUAAGUCCUGUACCAGCUGCCGUCUCCAUAUUCUCCUCCUCCUUCUCUGUUGCCGCCAUGGACGAGCUGAGCUGAGCUCGCUCCGCCACCAUGCCGCUACUGCUGUGCCACUGCUCCGCCCCUCCAGCAGCCGCACCUCCUGCCUAUGGCCUCGCCUCGUCUCCCGCGCCACUCCUCCACCGCCGCCGCUGCCGGUGAUGGCCUGCUGCGACGUGGACACGGUGCCACCGGCGCCCUUGGCCGAGCACCGUGAAGCCACCUCCGGCCGAGCCGGGGCACCAGCAGGUGCACAUGAGUCCGGCAGAGCUCCCUCGCCACUCCACAGAUAAGCAUCCCACCCGUCGAAACCACAACCUCCGACCAGCUCCUCUGUUUUCGGUUCACGACCAGAGGCUUCGCACGACAAUUUGAAGUUCUCAGGGACCUAACUGCACAGACUGUACCCAGUGCAUAUGAGAGGGAGAAGUUUUGUGUUGAACAAGUAUGAAGCGGUUGGUGUUGAUCAAUCUUCGGAAAGGUGUCGUCGACUAGCGGUGUUAACUAAGAUCAUCCAUCAGUGGUGUUGGUGUCGUCCAACCAUGGAUUUGAUGAGGUGUCAUCGACUAGCGGUGUUAACUAAGAUCAUCCAUCAAUGGUGUUGGUGUCGUCUAACCAUGGAUUUGAUGAGGUGUCGUCGACUAGCGGUGUUAACUAAGAUCAUCCAUCAAUGGUGUCGGUGUCGUCCAACCAUGGAUUUGAUGCCCAAUCUGACUUAUGUGGUCUCUUCGUGGAACUAACCUUCUUUGCAACAAAGGCAAGCCCGGGAUGCAUUUAACCCUUUCUUGAA